rnacentral:rRNA from 1 species
GUCUGCGGCCAUACCACCCUGAAUGCGCCCAAUCUCGUCUGAUCUCGGAAGCUAAGCGGGGUUGGGCCUGGUUAGUACUUGGAUGGGAGAUAUGAUUUCUGGGGGUCCUGUCU